UGCAGUCGNACGCUUCUUUUUCCACCGGAGCUUGCUCCACCGGAAAAAGAGGAGUGGCGAACGGGUGAGUAACACGUGGGUAACCUGCCCAUCAGAAGGGGAUAACACUUGGAAACAGGUGCUAAUACCGUAUAACAAUCGAAACCGCAUGGUUUUGAUUUGAAAGGCGCUUUCGGGUGUCGCUGAUGGAUGGACCCGCGGUGCAUUAGCUAGUUGGUGAGGUAACGGCUCACCAAGGCGACGAUGCAUAGCCGACCUGAGAGGGUGAUCGGCCACAUUGGGACUGAGACACGGCCCAAACUCCUACGGGAGGCAGCAGUAGGGAAUCUUCGGCAAUGGACGAAAGUCUGACCGAGCAACGCCGCGUGAGUGAAGAAGGUUUUCGGAUCGUAAAACUCUGUUGUUAGAGAAGAACAAGGAUGAGAGUAACUGUUCAUCCCUUGACGGUAUCUAACCAGAAAGCCACGGCUAACUACGUG
rnacentral:rRNA from 1 species